rnacentral:rRNA from 1 species
AGCGAACGCUGGCGGCAGGCUUAACACAUGCAAGUCGAACGGGCGUAGCAAUACGUCAGUGGCAGACGGGUGAGUAACGCGUGGGAACGUACCUUUUGGUUCGGAACAACUGAGGGAAACUUCAGCUAAUACCGGAUAAGCCCUUACGGGGAAAGAUUUAUCGCCGAAAGAUCGGCCCGCGUCUGAUUAGCUAGUUGGUGAGGUAAUGGCUCACCAAGGCGACGAUCAGUAGCUGGUCNGAGAGGAUGAUCAGCCAC